CUUUCCCUCUGGCUUCAUGCUUUACACAUGCAAGUCGAACGGCAGCGCGGGCUUCGGCCUGGCGGCGAGUGGCGAACGGGUGAGUAAUACAUCGGAACGUGCCCAGUAGUGGGGGAUAGCUCGGCGAAAGCCGGAUUAAUACCGCAUACGACCUGAGGGUGAAAGCGGGGGAUCUUCGGACCUCGCGCUAUUGGAGCGGCCGAUGGCAGAUUAGCUAGUUGGUGGGGUAAAGGCCUACCAAGGCGACGAUCUGUAGCUGGUCUGAGAGGACGACCAGCCACACUGGGACUGAGACACGGCCCAGACUCCUACGGGAGGCAGCAGUGGGGAAUUUUGGACAAUGGGCGAAAGCCUGAUCCAGCAAUGCCGCGUGUGUGAUGAAGGCCUUCGGGUUGUAAAGCACUUUUGGCGGGAACGAAAAGGACUGUGCCAAUACCACGGUUCGAUGACGGUACCCGCAGAAUAAGCACCGGCUAACUACGUG
rnacentral:rRNA from 1 species